GGCUUCGUAGCUCAGCUGGAUAGAGCAACAGCCUUCUAAGCUGUGGGUCUUGGGUUCGAAUCCCAACGAAGUCA
rnacentral:tRNA from 1 species